AAAUUCAAAGGUUUCUAGUUGGAUUGAUGAUUGAUGUUGAUCUGAAAUACAAGGGGGAGGUCACUUAUUGUUCCUCCUAUUGAUACGUCUUCCAAUUUACCUAUACCACCUCUGGGGUGGAUUGGAAACCUAUGAUAACUACAGGAGGUAUAAAUCUAAUUGAUGGGGAAAUGUUUAGUGUGCUUACUAGGGACCAAGAUCUAAUCUUGAAAAAGAUGCCAUCUUUAUUUUGCCGGAGACACACGGGCAUAAAAUACUGUUACUUUACAUGUAAAUGAGUAG